UGUUUAGAAUGUAUGUCACCUAGGAAUUAUUUGAGGGACAAUAUUUUGUCAAGCUUAAAGAUUGCAAGGGCUAUGGUGCUUUAAGGUGCUGAGAUAUUGCACACCCCAUGAUAAUUUGCCUCGACUUCCAUGAACACCGGGAGUGUGUCUGUGUCAUGCAAGGCCAUGUUGGCGCUAGCUUGGUACUGUUUUUUUUUCUGCAAACCAUUUGAGAAUAAAUUGUUUGAAAUGAUCUUAUUCCAAAGGAUCCAAGGUGGCAUUAGAGAAGCAUCCUUUUUAAUUUCCAUGCUGAGAAUUUUUCUUUUCAUCACAAUUGAUACAUAUUACCUUGCAAAAUAACAUUUUAUCUUGCACUUUAAGGUUGGUGAGAAUAUGGCAAAUCUUUUCACUUAUAGCUAUUUUCACUCAAUUGCCAGCUACCAGCUACCAGAGCAUCACCAACCUCCAAGUGAAGAAUAGACAAAUUACAUGGCAAUUGUUCCACUUUGUUAAAUAUUAGUGACACAUGUUGCAAGAUCUUAAGUUAUUUUAUUUAUUGAACCUCCUAGGUGUUACCACAAUAUAUAUUGAUGUAUUUUCAUUAAGAACAAUGUAAAGAUAUUGUUCAUCUAAUGUAAAGAUAUUGAUGUGGUUCUGCUCAGUGAAUUUCUGAUUUUUACAUUAAUUUUUAUUUUGUAUGGAAAUAAAAAUGAGGUUUCACUGC
rnacentral:sRNA from 1 species